rnacentral:rRNA from 1 species
CGGCGGACGGGUGAGUAAUGCCUAGGAAUCUGCCUGGUAGUGGGGGACAACGUUUCGAAAGGAACGCUAAUACCGCAUACGUCCUACGGGAGAAAGCAGGGGACCUUCGGGCCUUGCGCUAUCAGAUGAGCCUAGGUCGGAUUAGCUAGUUGGUGAGGUAACGGCUUACCAAGGCGACGAUACGUAGCCGACCUGAGAGGGUGAUCGGCCACACUGGAACUGAGACACGGUCCAGACUCCUACGGGAGCAGCAGAC